AUUGAACGCUGGCGGCAUGCCUUACACAUGCAAGUCGAACGGUAACGCGGGGGCAACCCUGGCGACGAGUGGCGAACGGGUGAGCAACACAUCGGAACGUAUCCUUUGAGUGGGGGAUAGCUCGGCGAAAGCCGGAUUAAUACCGCAUACGCUCUUUGGAGGAAAGCGGGGGACCUUCGGGCCUCGCGCUUAAGGAGCGGCCGAUGUCGGAUUAGCUAGUUGGUGGGGUAAAGGCCCACCAAGGCGACGAUCCGUAGCGGGUCUGAGAGGACGGCCC
rnacentral:rRNA from 1 species